rnacentral:rRNA from 1 species
GAUGAACGCUAGCUACAGGCUUAACACAUGCAAGUCGAGGGGCAGCAUUGGAGUAGCAAUACUUCAGAUGGCGACCGGCGCACGGGUGAGUAACACGUAUCCAACCUGCCGCUUACUCGGGGAUAGCCUUUCGAAAGAAAGAUUAAUACCCGAUGGUAUAAAGAGUUCGCAUGUUCUCUUUAUCAAAGAAUUUCGGUAAGCGAUGGGGAUGCGUUCCAUUAGAUAGUUGGCGGGGUAACGGCCCACCAAGUCUACGAUGGAUAGGGGUUCUGAGAGGAAGGUCCCCAACAUUGGAAGUGACACACGGUCCAAACUCCUACGGGAGGCAGCAGUGAGGAAUAUUGGUCAAUGGACGAGAGUCUGAACCAGCCAAGUAGCGUGAAGGAUGACUGCCCUAGGGGUUGUAAACUUCUUUUAUAAGGGAAUAAAGUGAGGGACGUGUCCCUUUUUGUAUGUACCUUAUGAAUAAGGAUCGGCUAACUCCGUGCCAGCCGCCGCCGUAACAC